rnacentral:lncRNA from 1 species
AGCACUCACACAAACUGAAGGGCCCGGUCUCACUCCUACCGUGCCCCCCACAACAGCCCUGAGUCUGUUUCCAGGUGGUGGGCGAGAGGGGUUUGAAAAUUUGCCCCAGGCUAUCCGCCUCCCAGCUGGGCAAGAAAAGGGCGUGGUUGUUCCCCCACUGAGGAGUCUGCACACCGGAUUUGCAUCUUCCCCUGAGUUCUGGCCUGGAGGCUUCUCGCCCCUGCAAAUUGUUACAAAGUUCAGCUAGAGGGUUCCUUCUUCCUGUGGAGUUUUACCUUCUGCUCCUCUGGCCACCCUCCUGAUGGAUCCCUGUGGUGCCAGGCAGGAAUGACCUGCUUAAGGACCCAGCGAGCUCCCAGGACCUUUCUGCUGCUUCCUCUACCCGUAUAUUUUGCUUGCUUCUCUACAUUGACUCAGCUCCAGCGAUUCCUGAGGAAUCUCAUCCACACUACCCUAUGGACUAAAAGGAAAAGCUCUUCAUGUGGUGUUAGCACGGAGAUGAGAAAGAGAGAAAGACAACAUCAUGCUUUGCUGUCUGUGUGUGAACUGAGUAACAGCUGUGAAGGAUCAGUCACCAAAAGACUUUGAAAGAAGAGGCUUGAUUGGUCACGGCCAUGGAAGUUUAAUUGGGAGAAAAGAACAUCUGCUUAUACGAAAACAUAUUAUAUUCAGCCAUCCCUGCCCUGACUUUGGCCUUUAAAAACAGUGGCAUUAAUUAUCUCAACAAAUGAAUCUUCGGGAUAAAAAUAAUCUAAAUAUUAUUUUACGCUUACUACAUAUUUGCAACGUGCUAAGCUCUUUAUGGUUGCUACCACAAAAAACAUUUAUAAUAUGAGGUUGUUUCCGUAUUUUGGCUAUUGUGAAUAGUGCUGCAAUAAACAUGGAAGUGCUGAUAUAUCUUUGAGAUCUUGACUUCAAACAAAAGAAGAAAAUCUUGCAAUAUAUGACAACACGGAUUAACCUGGAGGACAUUGUGCUUAGUGAAGUUAGCCAGUCACAGACUGACAAGUACUGCACGAUUCCACUUAUGAAGACUACAGUUCCUAUCUUCACAGGUGGCUGUUAGCUCUAAAUGAACUCAUUUAUUUUGAAAGCAUGAUUUAAAGUAUAGUUUUAAACUAUAAGCAUUUCAGAAGUGAUGACCCAUGACUCAAAUCUCAAAAAUAAAUGCUACAGUUCACAGUUGGAAUAUGGACACAAGAAAAAUAAUAGAUGAUGCCACUGAAAGGUAAACAUACCAUUCUGACAUGCAUGAAAAUGAAACGACAAAUUGAUACACGCAGUGCUUGGAAUGGAUGGAGUCCUUCUAAUGAGUGAUUACCUGUGGUAUAACUAUAUUGAUUGUGUUUGUACAUGUCAAAUGGGGCUGGCGAGGAUGAACUUGAAGAAAUCAAUCUUGGAACCUGCUAGGACAGCAGCCUCCUGGUUUCACAGUACUAAAUCAUGACUUCAAAAUUUUGAAGUAAAAGAAAACUGCAAAACUUUGUAAAGGUACCAGUCUCUUCCUGACACUAUUUGCCUUGGCAAAAGAUUCACUGUCAACUUAAAAGACUAACAUGUGCUCAGAUGAUGAUUUGUGGAGGACAGAUAAUUAUGAGUACAUUUAGAAAUACACACUCUUCCAAACCCUGCUCUUUCCAUAUAAUGAAGUUAUUUAUUUCUAUUUUUUAUUUAUUUUUCUAAUAAUUACAAACAUACUUUGGAGACCCACAUUCCUGUAUUAUUCUUUCAACAUACUGAAGAAGAGUUAUUUCUAUGCUUCUUUCUAUGUGUUGGGCUUAAGAUUUAUUAGAAGGAAUGUGUAAAAACAAAGGCAGCAAAGUUUCUAUUUUUAUUGGGAGUCACUCCCGGAGUAAGUGGGGAUAGUUGUGCACACACACACACACACAUUCAUGCACAAAGAAAGAGUGAUCAAGUGUAUAACACACUUUUAGCAGUGUUUUGCUGGAAGAAUAAAGUAUAACUCCUUGUCCGCCCUUUUAUUAUACUGGGGUUCACACUAAGAGAGUCUGAGGACCUGUGGAACUCCCAUUUGCAUGAAAUAACUUUUGCAUCUAUUCUGGAGGAAAACUUCCUAAGGCAGAUUUGGACAGAAAAUUGCUAUCAGCGCAAAUAAAACAAUGCAAAGCCUACUCCGGGGAACGUUGCUCUGCCACCACUACUGAAAUGGGUCAUCCCCUUGGUUUCUGAAUAAAGAAUUAUGAAACCUGGGGCUAGAAUGCUCAGGGAGGAAUUUACCAAUCCAAAUCUUCCCCUUAUGGUAGAGAACAAACUUUCAAGGUUUGUUCUCCACUGUAAGUGUGCGAGGGCUGUUAGGGACCGUAAUAUGGCUGCCGGAGACUGGUGUGUGUACCUCCUUGACUGUACGUCUCAUUUCCAGUUAUGAUUUUACAAUCAUCUCUUUCUCAACCUUUGCUUUUAAAUAUAGGAAGGUACGGCUCACCAUGGAGCGGACAUUUUCUUCAGGAGCGGUACGGUGUCUAAGAUAUGCAGAGGUUGUAUUCUAGUCCUAUAACUCAAUUCUCAAACACAUGGCUUUUAGCCAGGGAUAUCCUAAAGGAAAAUUACACUAUAUGCAACCCCUCCUUACUCCUCAAAUAUUAUCUAUAUUAAACACAGCUGAAAUUUGAGAGUGUCCUUACAGGUGAAAAUUUAACAAUUUAACAAAAGGACACUGCUGAAUGUGUGGGGACAAAGGAAGGAUGAAUCUUUCAUCAUGACAAAAGACUACUUGCCACAUUCUCCCUUAACUUAGAAAAACAGAAAAGAGGCUGGGCGUGGUGGCUCCUGCCUGUAACCUCAGCACUUUGGGAGGCUGAGAUGGGUGGAUCAUUUGAGGUCAGGAGUUCGAGACCAGCCUGGCCAACAUGGUGAAACCCCGCCUCUACUAAAAAAUUCAAAAACUAGCCAGGCAUGGUGGCGGGUGCCUGUAGUUCCAGCUACUCAGGAGGCUGAGGCAGGAGAAUCUCCUGAACCCAGGAGGCGGAGGUUGCAGUGAGUCGAGAUCACACCACUGCACUCCAGCAACAGAGCAAGGCUCUGUCUGUCUCAAAA